UACAGAGGUCCCAAGCGUUGUUCGGAUUCACUGGGCGUAAAGGGUGCGCAGGUGGGUUGGCAAGUUUGAUGUGAAAGCCCCGGGCUUAACCCGGGAAUGGCAUUGAAUACUGCUGAUCUGGGGGAUCGGAGGGGGGACUGGAAUUCUUGGUGUAGCAGUGAAAUGCGUAGAUAUCAAGAGGAACACCAGUGGCGAAGGCGAGUCCCUGGACGAUACCUGACACUGAGGCACGAAAGCCAAGGGAGCAAACAGG
rnacentral:rRNA from 1 species